rnacentral:sRNA from 1 species
UACACAUUUUCGGCAUUCCACAAUUGUGGAAUGGGAGAAAAAUUGUCGCCGGCGAAGGCUCAGUGAAACCAGAAACCAGAGCAGGGUUGAAGUAGCAAGAUGUAACGCCUACGGUCUGCCUUGCCAUCCGAUUGAGGAUGGCACGGAUGUUGGUGUCAGCGAGAGGAAAUGUAGAUAUCCAGCGGGGUAAGUCUGCUCCUCCGCGGACCAUCUGCCACAACGGAGACUGGCUGUCUGGCGGGUGAAAUGCGGUGAAUGGGACUCAGGGGAAAGCAGAUUUGCUAUCCAUCCAUAUUCAUGUCUGGAGAUGAUGAUUCAAUUUCAUCAUUCUGAAGAGGAG